rnacentral:rRNA from 1 species
CAGAAACUCAAAGGAAUUGACGGGGCCCGGCACAAGCGGAGGAGGCAUGUGGUUUAAUUCGAUGAUACGCGAGGAACCUUACCUGGGCUCGAACGUAAGAUGACUGUAGGUGAAAGCUUACAUCUCUUCGGAGCAUUUUACGAGGUGCUGCAUGGUUGUCGUCAGCUCGUGCCGUGAGGUGUCGGGUUAAGUCCCAUAACGAGCGCAACCCCUACCUUUAGUUGCCAUCAGGUAAUGCUGGGGACUCUAAAGGAACUGCCUACGCAAGUAGUGAGGAAGGCGGGGAUGACGUCAAAUCAGCACGGCCCUUACGUCCAGGGCUACACACGUGCUACAAUGGCCGAUACAGAGGGCAGCUACCUGGUGACAGGAUGCAAAUCUCCAAAGUCGGUCUCAGUUCGGAUCGGAGUCUGCAACCCGACUCCGUGAAGUUGGAUUCGCUAGUAAUCGCGCAUCAGCCAUGGCGCGGUGAAUACGUUCCCGGGCCUU